GUGGGGAAUAUUGGGCAAUGGGCGCAAGCCUGACCCAGCAACGCCGCGUGAAGGAAGAAGGCUUUCGGGUUGUAAACUUCUUUUACCAGGGACGAAACAAAUGACGGUACCUGGUGAAUAAGCCACGGCUAACUACGUGCCAGCAGCCGCGGUAAUACGUAGGUGGCGAGCGUUAUCCGGAUUUAUUGGGUGUAAAGGGCGUGUAGGCGGGACAGCAAGUCAGAUGUGAAAACCAGAGGCUCAACCUCUGGCCUGCAUUUGAAACUGUUGUUCUUGAGUGUCGGAGAGGUAAUCGGAAUUCCGUGUGUAGCGGUGAAAUGCGUAGAUAUACGGAGGAACACCAGUGGCGAAGGCGGAAUACUGGACGAUAACUGACGCUGAGGCGCGAAAGCGUGGGGAGCAAACAGGAUUAGAUACCCCUGUAGUCC
rnacentral:rRNA from 1 species